AUUCAUCCCAGGAGAGCGUGGUGCACAGUAGUCAAUGGCUCUGACAUUGCUGCAGCAGAAUAACCAUGAACCUGGAGUACUUCCUGGCCUUGUGCUGAAUCUUAGAUGAAUGAGGAGCUGCAGCAUCCCUUGGAUUUGUUGGUCUAAUCAAGCAUAUGAUUUGUUUUACAAAGAAAAAACAGGAAACCUGAGGAUCUCCUAACCCAUCUGCUGGCAAAAGAGCUCUCGCCCCUCUCAUUAGAGCAACGGAGUGAGAGCUGCAAUCAAUUAUAGA